CCGGGCUCGGCUCCAUACCUCCCACCCGCGCGCCUCCCGGAACAGAGCCCCGGACCCCAAGUGGACCAGCCGCUAACAGGCCUUUACAACCCCGAACAGGAGCCCGGGUGAUAGCUACCUGCAGACCAGCCUUCAAGCUAUGAAAAGAAGAUUGGAGUGAUAAAAUUUAAAGCGCCUAGUAAAUUUGCAAAGUCCUGGCUAUUUCUGAAUUUCUUGUAAUUACGUCCAGGGCAAUAUACAGAAAAGGGAAAGAAAAAGAAGACUCUCCAGAGGGCCGUCUCAGGCAUGGAGGGAGGCGCGCACUGGGAAGUGUGAAAGGAAAGGAGCGCUUUUGCGCGCCGCUGGUUCCUCUGCAGGCUCAGGUUGACCAGUGAAAUGCUAAUUAAGAAGGGGAGCUCGCCUGCCUUAUUUUCAGAGAAUAUCAGCAAAGUCGUCCAUGGAUGUAUCAUGAGGAGGGGCUGUGGCGUUUGCAGAGUCCUAGAAAAGAGUUUGUGACAGGAAACCAAUAACUGGUUGUUUAUUCAUAAUAAAAAGACUUGUAAUUACAACUAGGACCAAUUAUUCUUGAGCAUAUUUCAGUUUUAAUAUACAGUUUAAGAAUGUCAAAUACAUUCUACAAAGGAAUGGAGAAACUUACAGACAAAAUAUUUUGACUAAAGGACAAAAACAAAAAACAUCCAAAGCAGUCUUAGAGUUAUCUAAGCAGCAACGUU